CCCGGCGCGUGACCCCGCGCGUUUUUGGCUCGCGUCCCCGAGCCCCCGGGCGGAGGCACUUUUGAGCGGGAGCUGGGAGCUCGGCAUGGACUGUUAAGACUUUGGGGUCGCAUCAGUUGGCGCCAGCCCUAAGGGAAGAAAUGGAGACUGGCGGAGUAGCUUUCGAAAGAGUGACAUACUGGAGCAUCGUGGCUAUUCCUAAUGCUGCUGCUGGUCUGUGGAGGAGGAGGGGGAGUGUGGCAGAUCUGAGGAGAGUUUGGUGAGACUCUGAGUGAGAGGAAGAGAAACCGAGCUGAAUAAUGAGGCCUGGUAGAAGGAGGUCCCAAGUGCUAAUCAGCAGUGCCAGCCCUACCCUUGUGGACUCACUACCCCAAGGAAAGCUCUUCCUCAGGUCACACAAGGUGGCAGCUUCCCUUUUUCUGACAAUGGAUGACAUAGAAUCAAGCAGUGGCCAGUUUAUGCUAGGCCUUCCACGCGAACAGUAAGUCCUCAGCAAGAUGUAAAUUAAUACAGUAUAUUUGAAUCUUGCAGCCA